CGUAAACAAUGCUGUGUGCUAUAACAACAGCCACGUUUUUGUUUUGGCAUAGAUAUUUAUUAACAUUGUGGAAAAUUGGCACCAUUAAAAAGUAUGCCGAAUUAUCUAUUAGCACUUCCUGUUCGCAAUUUGCUCAUUAAUAUACAGAAAACUAUCAGCCGGACUACUUUAAAACUGAAGAAAACUUUAAAAAGUGAUGAUUUUCAGGCAACGCAUUUAUGAAGAGGAUAUAAUUUCUACGCGAAUUUAUGGACGUUUACCUGCAAUGGACGUUGGAGACAAUAUUCAGACAAACUGGUAGCUUUGAUGAUCUGCUGAGAGCCUUCAUCUCGCCUCCUUCUCUUUGCUGACAACUGUCAAGCCGACUACCUGCAGCCCCUCCAGGCCUGUGCUUGAGCCGCUGAUGCCAACUCACGGUGCUCUGUUCUCCUUAACGCCUUCUCCUUCUGGGACCACAGAGAGCCUUGGGAGGUAUUCGCCGGAGGAGAUUUAAUACGCCGCCCUGAAAUCCUCCCAUGCAUCCAGCAGGGCUGACCUGGAACUGUGUGCUGCAUCGGAAAGGACGGUGAAGAAGGUUAAAGGAGAGACUUAAGUGAGGCUCUUGCAGGCGUGAGAGCAACAUGGCGUCUUCUAAAAGGCUCUAUUCUCUUUUCAAAAUACUCUAGUUUCAGAUGUCUUUGUUUUCAUGGUUUUCCUGUGAUGAUGGAGAAGGUGUACACAAACAUUAAACGGUGAAUGAAAAGUGACGGAAGAAGUACUCAGGUCUUGUACUCAACCCUUUUGCCUCACCUUAAAACAAAUGUCAGGAAACUGCCAAAGAAAUAUUAUAUAUGAAUAUUAUUUUCCACUUUCUCUAAGAUAAAUAUUUUAACCAACCAGUCCUGAUUAGAACUACCACAUAUGUAUAAUGUUUUAGAAUUGUAACCCUUUAAAUGUUUGUUUAUUAAACCACUGCCACUG